rnacentral:lncRNA from 1 species
AGACCCCAGUGUGGGAAGGAAGCCCCUGGGUCCCACAGAAGGUUAGUUUAGGGUCACCAGUCACAUAAUCUGUCUGUAAAAUUUCAUUCACUAUUUAUGCCACAGUUAAAUUUUGUGAGCUCUCCAAAAUGGUAGAUUAAAUUUUUGUCAAGUCCAAUAUUUAAAAGAUGGUAUUCGGAGUUCCCGUCGUGGCGCAGUGGUUAACGAAUCCGACUAGGAACCAUGAGGUUGCGGGUUCGAUCCCUGCCCUUGCUCAGUGGGUUGACGAUCCGGCGUUGCCGUGAGCUGUGGUGUAGGUUGCAGACGCGGCUCGGAUCCCGCGUUGCUGUGGCUCUGGCGUAGGCCAGUGGCUACAGCUCCGAUUGGACCCCUAGCCUGGGAACCUCCCUAUGCUGUGGGAGCGGCCCAAGAAAUAGCAAAAAGACAUAAAAAAUAAAUAAAUAAAAGUUGGUAUUCAUUCUCUGAUUUUAGGUCCAGAAGGUGGAUAAACCUCUAAGAUAAUAGCAUGAAAUUUGCCAUAAUGAUAUCAUCAGCAGGUCAGAUGGGACACAAGCGUCUGUGGAUUUACUUUCAACUCCACUGCCACAUAUUAGUGGAGACUCCAGGAGUGGAUGAAUUUUUUGCAGAUGAGUCUCCUUCUCCUUGUCUUAACUUCUCUUCCAACUAAAGACUCCCAUAAAACACGCUAUCUGCAGAAUUCUCAGGAGGGAAGAGAAGGAGUUGAGCCAUAACCUCCUAACCUCUGCGGCACACCCUCGGCCAGCAACCUCAUUCUCCUUCUGGCAUUUGGAGGGCUCUGUGGAUCCCUUGCCCUCAGAAAUGCUAUCAACAUAAUGAAAGUUGAGAUGAAAAUUAAUCAUUUGCUGAGCUUCCUCCUGCAUCUGUUUUAAAACCUUCUGAGGGUGAGAGGAAUCUGUAGAACUUUGGAAGGCUGUGCUGGGAUUCCCACUGACUGUACUGGGACAUCUGAGGUGAUCCAUUCGAAGCAGUUAUUAGGAAGAAAUGAGAUGACACUGUUUCUCAGCAUUUGAGAUCAAGAACCUCAGAUUGGAACAGGUAUUGUCCCUGAUUUCUCAUAGUUGUCU